rnacentral:rRNA from 1 species
GGACACCUACCCUUAGGUCGGGGAUAAACCCGGGAAACUGGGUAUAAUACCCGAUAGUCCUCGAAUGCUGGAAUGCAUCGAGGUCUAAAGCUCCGGCGCCUAAGGAUGGGUCUGCGGCCUAUCAGGUAGUAGUGGGUGUAGCGUACCUACUAGCCUACGACGGGUACGGGUUGUGAGAGCAAGAGCCCGGAGAUGGAUUCUGAGACACGAAUCCAGGCCCUACGGGGUGCAGCAGGCGCGAAAACUUUACAAUGCUGGCAACAGCGAUAAGGGGACCUCGAGUGCCAGGUUACAAAUCUGGCUGUCGUGAUGCCUAAAAAGCAUUGCAUAGCAAGGGCCGGGCAAGACCGGUGCCAGCCGCCGCGGUAACACCGGCGGCUCGAGUGGUAACCGUUAUUAUUGGGUCUAAAGGGUCUGUAGCCGGCCGGAUAAGUCUCUUGGGAAAUCUGGCAGCUUAACUGUCAGGCUUUCAGGAGAUACUGUCUGGCUCGAGGCCGGGAGAGGUGAGAGGUACUUCAGGGGUAGGGGUGAAAUCUUGUAAUCCUUGAAG